rnacentral:rRNA from 1 species
UACGUAGGGUGCAAGCGUUGUCCGGAAUUAUUGGGCGUAAAGAGCGCGUAGGCGGUCCGAUAAGUCGGCUGUGAAAGUCAGGGGCUCAACCCUUGGAAGCCGGCCGAUACUGUCGGACUAGAGUCCGGAAGAGGAGAGUGGAAUUCCUGGUGUAGCGGUGAAAUGCGCAGAUAUCAGGAAGAACACCCGUGGCGAAGGCGGCUCUCUGGGACGGUACUGACGCUGAGACGCGAAAGCGUGGGGAGCGAACAGG